rnacentral:rRNA from 1 species
CACGUAGUUAGCCGUGGCUUUCUAUUCCGGUACCGUCAAUCCUUCUAACUAUUCGCAAGAAGGCCUUUCGUCCCGAUUAACAGAGCUUUACAACCCGAAGGCCGUCAUCACUCACGCGGCGUUGCUCCGUCAGACUUUCGUCCAUUGCGGAAGAUUCCCCACUGCUGCCUCCCGUAGGAGUCUGGGCCGUGUCUCAGUCCCAAUGUGGCCGUUCAUCCUCUCAGACCGGCUACUGAUCAUCGCCUUGGUGGGCCGUUACCCCUCCAACUAGCUAAUCAGACGCAAUCCCCUCCUUCAGUGAUAGCUUAUACAUAGAGGCCACCUUUCAUCUUUCCUCGAUGCCGAGGUUAGAUCGUAUGCGGUAUUAGCAGUCGUUUCCAACUGUUGUCCCCCUCUGAAGGGCAGGUUGAUUACGCGUUACUCACCCGUUCGCCACUAAGAUUGAUAGAAGCAAGCUUCCAUCGCUCUUCGUUCGACUUGCAUGUGUUAAGCACGCCGCC